GACGAACGCUGGCGGCGUGCUUAACACAUGCAAGUCGAACGAAGUGGGAACGGGUGAGUAAUACGUGGGUAACCUCCCCCCUUUUUGGGAUAAGCCUUGGAAACGGGGUCUAAACCGAAUAGAUGGUCUCGCGGCCUAUCAGGUUGUUGGUGGGGGGAUGGCCUACCAAGGCGGUGACGGUUCGCCGACCUGCGAGGGUGAUCGGCCACACUGGGACUGGUACACGGCCCAGACUCCUACGGGAGGCAGCAGUAGGGAAUCUUCGGCAAUGGACGAAAGUCUGACUGAGCAACGCCGCGUGAGUGAUGACGGUCUUCGGGUUGUAAAGCUCUGUUAUUCGGGACGCGGUACCGGAAUAGAAAGCCACGGCUAACUACGUGCCAGCAGCCGCGGUAAUUC
rnacentral:rRNA from 1 species